rnacentral:misc_RNA from 1 species
GAUGAAGAACGUAGCGAAAUGCGAUAAGUAAUGUGAAUUGCAGAAUUCAGUGAAUCAUCGAAUCUUUGAACGCACAUUGCGCCCCUUGGUAUUCCGAGGGGCAUGCCUGUUCGAGCGUCAUUAUAACCCCUCAAGCUCAGCUUGGUGUUGGGGCCUGCUGCACUGGCAGCCCUUAAAAUCAGUGGCGGCGCCAUCUGGCUCUAAGCGUAGUAAUUCUUCUCGCUAUGGAGUCCUGGUGGAUGCUUGCCAUCAACCCCCAAUUUUUCUAUGGUUGACCUCGGAUCAGGUAGGGAUACCCGCUGAACUUAAGCAUAUCAAUAAGCGAAGGA